CAUGAAUUACAAAUACAAAUACAAAUUAUAUAGCUGUUUUUUCCUUGUCUGCCUCGCUUUUCGCCUUCUCAUAAUUUCUGAUUUCAUGUUGUCUCUAGUACUUCUUUCGUUGCAUCCUCAAACCACCAGCAUUAUCGUCUAUCUCCUCCUCUUCCAUAUCUCUAUUUUCUUCUCUUCGACUACUCUACAGUUUAAAGUGAGCUCAAGGAAGAUUAAAAAGGUUCUCCGGAUUUUGAGGAUGAGCGGCCAAAUGCUCCCGAUCUCCUUUA
rnacentral:lncRNA from 1 species